rnacentral:rRNA from 1 species
UAGGCGUAGGGGCUAGCCGGUUGUUCCGGAUUUGAUGGCGUAAAGAGCUCGUAGGCGGUCUGUUGCGUCCGCUGUGAAAACUCGGGGCUCAACCCCGAGCCUGCAGUCGAUACGGGCAGACUAGAGUGCUGUAGGGGAGACUGGAAUUCAUGGUGUAGCAGUGAAAUGCGUAGAGAUCAUGAGGAAGACCAGUGGCGAAGGCGGGUCUCUGGAUAGUUCCUGACACUGAGACACGAAGGCCAGGGGAGCAAACGGGG